AAGGAUGGUGACACAACUGCAGUUCCAAGGAGAAAUAAUUCUGAUUUGCCUCUUCGUACUUUGCCACAAGAUCUGAGUUCAUAGGACCAAGGACAACCAAGAUAAUACAAAGACAUGAGGACAUGCCCCACGAGGAUAGGCUGAAGGAACUUGGGAUAUUCAGUCUGGAGAAAAGACUAAGGGGAGACAUGAUAGCCGUGGUCAGGUAAAAAAAUGGAAGCUACAGGGAAGUGGUCAAGAACUAUUUGCCAUGGCCACAGAAACUAGGGCCAGAAAUAAAGGGUAUAAGUUUCAUGUAUCUAGAUUUUGUUUAAAUAUGAGAUGAAUUUCCAGACGGUAAGAUCUGUCUAGUGGUGGAACAGUCUACCUCUGGAAAUUGUGGGUUCUCCAUUUCUGGAGAUUUUAAAGAAGAGGCUGGACAGCCACUUCUCAUGGAUGGUUUGAUUAGUUUUCCUUCAUAUUACUGAGAGUUGGACUCCAAUUCCCCAAUUUUAUGAUUCUAAGCCUUAUUGCUGGAGUUAAUAUUUGUAAACAUUGUUUUCUACCUUUUCCACAAAACAUCCAUGUGAAUUUUGUGGGGGUGAUAUUUUUUCUUGGUUUUUUUUUUCUUGUUUUGCAUUUUUGGAUUUUUGAAUGGUGGGGGUGCUUCAGAUUUGUUGCCACUAGUGAUAGCCUUGAUUUUUGACAGACUUCGAAAAGUACUACAGCAUAUUGCUAAUAGAAAGCUAUAAGAGAGACAUUAUGUGUCAGCUGUCGGGCACUGGAAAUAUGAAUUGCAUGCCUGCCAUCUAUCUCUGCCUUAUAUCAGCAGGUAGGCCAAAGAUCAGUAGUCUGAUCAAGAAUCUUAUUGGGAAAUCUCUGGAUGACUAAAAAUGGUGUCAAAAGGCUUCUGACCUUAAUGUUCUUUACUUAUAAAAUUCUUUAGAAAGGACAGGCUGCCACCUUCUGGUUGGAAAGGGGAAAGCACAUUACAUGUAUCUGAGACACUUUUAUUUUAUUCUUACUGGCUAGUAGAAACAAUAUUUGACUAUUAAGCCCCAAUAUAAUUUGUUGGCCACUGAUCUUCCAUUUAAUCCAUUAGACUGCUAGUGUGAUUCUUUUGCACGCACGCGCACACACACCAGGCCUGAAUUGUGAGCCACAUGUUGUCUUUACAUUGGUAUAUAAUUAAUAUGAUGGAACAUUUCCAACCAAAUUCAACUCUUCUCACUUACCAUUUCCAAUCUAUAAUGUGCAUUUAUCAAGCAGGGGAAAGUCUAUUGUCUAGAGCUGAGCUGAAAAACAUUCACUAUGAUGGCAGAACAUUGUUCUUGGAUUCCUUUUCCAAAGAGAAAAAAUAUAUACUUUCAGUAAAAAUCUCAUGGUGCAGUUUCUGCAUUAUCUUAAUUACAAGGUGGGUCAAGGUGAGUAUUUCAUCUUUCGUUAUCUAGCCAUCCCUCCAGAGGUCUGCAGCCUCCCUGGCUUACUGUAUUCAGUUCAGUCCCAGAAGAAGACAUCAGGAGGAAGGAGCAUCCAGGGAAGCUCUGAGUGUCAGAGAGUGAAUACUAGAAACAGCAACAGCAGCUUAAGAAUAAAGGAAGCACCCUACAAAUGAGACAGAAAAACAGAAGCCUUUUUUUGCAGGAGGAGAAACUGGUGGGGAACUGGGAGAACUAAUUUCAACACCAAUGCUCAUUUCCAGUCAUUCAGAUUGCAUCUCACUUCUUUCUAGGUUUCAUCAUUUAGGGAUGAGUGCUGGGACUUCAUGUGUGUUACUGAUAUCAAUCAUAUCUGCACCUGUCGACCGCCUCUGCCUAAUUGGAUUAUACCUGUGAUCUGUGUUGUUCCGCUGGCUAUCAUUCUCAGCUGUUUGAUCAAGCUGUGCGUCUGCUACUGCAAGGAGAAGCAGGCAACCAGCCGUUCAGAGGAGUCAGCUGGGACUCAGUCCAGCCCACCUCCGUUCUUCGUAUCUGCAGUGAUCUCAGCUCCAUCGGAUCACGAAUUCAGGGCGCCCCCUCCUUAUAGUGAGAUUGCAUGGAAACCAUAUUGCUACCCACCUCCUAUGGAUGACCCACCUGCCUAUGACAAUAUUGCCAUGGAUAGCUUCUCCCCUCCAGAUGUCUCCAUACCUUCUGGAUUAGUGCCUAAGAGUAACUCAACAGCCUGAAGUUUCUGCUGUUGUUAUCCUGGAAUGCUCAGAAGUUUAACAGUUUUGACGGAUCAGGUGACAGUUCAAGUAUCUUCUCAAUAAUGUUUUUGUGAUGCUUACAUGCAAGACGUGAUCGUUCCUGCCCUUCCUCCAUUCCCCCAUAUCAGGUCAUGUCUGUGAGCAGAGAAUGUGUUAGACACAGCCAAAUCUACAUGAGUUCAUAUCCCAAACUGAGUUUUCUUGUGACUUACUCUUAUGCUAAAGGGGUACUACAGGAAUCCCUUGGAAGGCUUUGGUCAUCCAAGUUAUUGACGGGCAAAUCUGAAUUUCCCUCCUGGACACUGCCCUCCCUCUUCUUUGAAAUUUCUUUGCUUAAAGACAGUUGGUUUUGCACCUUGGUCUAGUAUCUUCUAAGAUAGGUCUCACUCUUCUGUUUAAUAAGCAGCCCAAAGAGUUUCCAAUUAUUCCUGGCUUAAUUCUUUAAUAAAAACAUUUCUGUGGAAGUUGGAGUCAUUUUAGGCUUUUUGUUUAGCUUGGAGUGUGGCUUCACACAUCUGCCAGAACUCUUGGGCAUAGAUGCUUCCCUGGGUUUGAAGGAGAUUAAGGAAAAGUUUUGGAAAUGCUGGGAGGCUCUUCUUUUCCACAGGUGAAAUUAUAAAGCAAGAUUUUCAUAUUUUUUAUCUGAAAGUUAUUAAAUUACACAAGGGUGGUUGCUGUAUCUACUUCUGAGGCUGAUUUAAUUUAAUUUAUUUGAUUUAGGUGCCACCCGAGUCCUAAAUUCUGGGAGGCUCACAAUAUAAUAAAAAG